rnacentral:rRNA from 1 species
GACGAACGCUGGCGGCGUGCCUAAUACAUGCAAGUAGAACGCUGAAGGAGGAGCUUGCUUCUCUGGAUGAGUUGCGAACGGGUGAGUAACGCGUAGGUAACCUGCCUGGUAGCGGGGGAUAACUAUUGGAAACGAUAGCUAAUACCGCAUAAUAGUAGAUGUUGCAUGACAUUUGCUUAAAAGGUGCAAUUGCAUCACUACCAGAUGGACCUGCGUUGUAUUAGCUAGUUGGUGAGGUAACGGCUCACCAAGGCAACGAUACAUAGCCGACCUGGGAGGGUGUCCGCCAAACUGGGAAUUGGAAAACACCCCGACCCCUUCGGGGAGGAGCAGUAGGGAAUCUUCGGCAAUGGGCGGAAGGCCGGACGAGGAACGCCGCGUGAGUGAAGAAGGUUUUCGGAUCGUAAAGCUCUGUUGUAAGAGAAGAACGAGUGUGAGAGUGGAAAGUUCACACUGUGACGGUAUCUUACCAGAAAGGGACGGCUAACUACGUG